rnacentral:rRNA from 1 species
UACGUAGGGUGCAAGCGUUAAUCGGAAUUACUGGGCGUAAAGCGUGCGCAGGCGGUUUUGUAAGUCUGUCGUGAAAGCCCCGGGCUCAACCUGGGAAUUGCGAUGGAGACUGCAAGGCUUGAAUCUGGCAGAGGGGGGUAGAAUUCCACGUGUAGCAGUGAAAUGCGUAGAGAUGUGGAGGAACACCGAUGGCGAAGGCAGCCCCCUGGGUCAAGAUUGACGCUCAUGCGCGAAAGCGUGGGGAGCAAACAGG